rnacentral:lncRNA from 1 species
GAUACAUGUAUGUAUCUAGACACAGAUACACCUCUAUUGACAUAUAUGCGUAUGAAAAUAUCUGUAUGUAUAAAGUGAAGUUCACACCACACUCCUAAUUCCAACCCAAUAAACAGGUUUUAUUCAAGUGCUCCCCUUUUCCAUAUUUAUAGAACCCUCAUUUCCAUAGGGACAGUCCUAGCUUCCAUGAUCCUUAUUAUAGCUAUUUAUUUCAUCAUCCCCUUUAGAUCAGUUUCCUGUUGUUGCUGUAACAAGGUACCACAAAACUUAGUGCCUUAAAAAAUCAAAAACUUAUUUUCUUGUAAUUCUGGACUUUGUUUUUAAUAUGGCUGCACUUUCCGCACAUGGAAGUUCCUGGGUCAAAUAGGAGCUGCGGCUGCUGGCCUACACACAGCCACAGCAACACCAGAUCUGAGCCUCAUCUUCUAGCAAUGCUGGAUCCUUAACCCAAACGUUUACGUGUUUUCCCGAUAAAAUUACCCCCACGAAGGAGAAAUUAUCUGGGGUCACUGCAGCCCAUGGCGAUCAGCUCAAGCCAGAGAAGAGAACAGAAGAGGAAAGGCCUGGAAGGAAAUACACCCAAACACUCUCUACAGGUGGUUUUCCUUGGGUGGUUGGAAGCAGCUGGGGGUGGGGGGAGCUAUGUUGAUGUGUUUCCUUAGUUUCGAUUUUACUAAUUUUCUCAUUAUUCACCCAGGUACUAUGGCAGGGUGGACCUGCAGCCAGACAGAAGCUGGGCCUGUGGGCCACGGCCAUGACCUCCCUGAUCCGCUUGGACAGGGCCACAGGGCUCAGAGGUGGGGUGGGCUCAGCCUUCCUCAGGGUCCCAGCUGCAGGGACGCAGGGAACCAGGGGCUGAGGGGUCCAAGCUGAUGGACUUAGAGGUCUGGCAGGAAUGCCCAUCUUUGCUGGCUGUGGACUAAAGUAGCGGGGGCAGGGAACGGGCCGACAGUCCGGACACAACCUGUUUUGACUUUGGGGUCCAUUAGCACAUGGAGGGGGGUGCCUGGAUCCCAUCCUCCCACGGAGACAGUGCACCUUUCGAGGGAGCCGGCAGCAUGGCCCCCUUAUCUCGGUGUGUGACAGCCCGGGUCCGAGGCCUCGGAGCUCUCAGUGCCUUCUGAGUUCCCCACAGCAGGGACAGGAACACAACUUCCUUCCUUCUGUGGUCUCACAACUGGCCUUUGGGGCAACUACCUUCACCUCCAUGUCACGCUGGGGAUCCAGGAGCUUCACCUGGCUGGGCAGGAGGGGCACCAGGGCUCUGGGGCAUUGGAGGCCAACCUCCCAGGGGACCUGGGUGAGGUGCCCUGAUGCUCUGAGGAUGAAGGAGAGGCAGGUGCCAGUCACAUAACCCCUUGCCAUGUGACCCGGGCCCCUCUGAGACCAGCCCUCAGGUGGGAUGUGAGCUGCAGCCACAGGUGGCAGGCUGAGGAGGAAGGCAUGGAGGGCAGGUGUGUCUACAGUGCUGAGGGAGCAGGGAAACCAAGAUGGAGCUCCCGUGAGGAAGAAGGUUCUGCGUCCAAAAUGCAAGGAAGAGCUUAGCAAUCCGAGGCCAGGCGCAUCAGGCACAGGUGGAUGUGGCACAUGGAACAGCUUUAUUUAACAGUGGAACUGUGAUGGCUACGAUGGGGGAAACGGAGGCUCAGAGAGGUGCCAUGCUUGCCCAAAGCCUUGCCCAGCUAUUCAGUACUGAGUCACUUGCUCUCGGAGAAAAUGCCUUGCCCGGAGCUGGUCUGGGACUGCGUGUCACUCUGAGCAGGUGGCACUGGCCUGACACAAAGCAAAGCAGCCCCACAGGCAUGGAUUUCCUCAGAAGGUAAUGCUAUCAAUCAGCAAGUAUUUUACUGCCCAGCGACAAAAGGAAUGUUGACUCACCAAGUUGCAGCCACACGGCUGGAAGCUGAGACAUUGCCUCCAACCUGGCUCAUGGGUUGUUAGCACGUUGGCCUGGCAGCAUGGGCUGCAGGGCACCCACCUGCCCCCACAUCUCCUGCUCUGGGAUUCCAGCCCCUCCCACCCCAGCCACAGACACAAAGAAGGCCAUUACUGAUGUCUCCCCCACACCUCUCCCACCGCAUAGGCUGCCUGGGGACACCAGGCCCUCUGGUGACCAGGGUGGUGGGGAAGGCCAGGGUACGAAUCAAGAAUCCACAUCGCUGUGGCCUGGCUGCCUGCUGGGGGCCCUCGAUUAUCCGAGUGCAAGGUGCCAUUGAAGGAAGGCUGGUGAGCCUCCCGGCCAGCAGGGCUCUGCCUGCAGUAGACAGUCCUUGCCAGCAGUGACAUCCCGAAGGACCAUGCUGGGGAUGCUGGUCAGGUGGAAACAUCCUGUCAACUUAGAGAAACUGGUGAUUUGCACACACUCUUUACCCAUCAUUCUCCUCAACAUAAGUGGACUGACUGAUGGUUCGGCCAGUUUUCUUCUACUGACCACAGGUCAGAGCGUCCCCAUCCAGAACGCACCCCCCAGCCCCAGGGAUGGUCGGGGGUGUACAGUAACAGCGCGGCAGGCACACAGUGGCGGCUCGCUCCCUCCAGGUGCAGCAGGGGCUGGGGGACCAUGCGCCAUGGACCAGUCUCCCAGCAUCGGCUCUGACCCUGCUCUUGUUCUCACAUCCAGAAAUGGAGCCAAGGAGCAGGACCCAGCUGUGACCAGCAUCUUCACUCCAUUACGAUUUUGUUAAAGCCUAAAUCACUUGGAAACCUUGAGGCAAUACGUCUCCCAUGGGAUCCAGACCCAGCAAUGGGCAGUGGCUUCACUGAGAAAAGCCCUCUGAGGGCGAAGGACCUGCCCGGGUGUUGCAUGUGGGGACUCUGAGAGCCUUCUGUCCACUGGGGAGGGAGGACCCUGGAAUCACCCUCCCAGCAGGAACAGGGGACAGAUGGCACGCUUGACCCAUAAAGGAAUACAAACAGGCUUACAGACACCAGCCAGGGCGGGGAGGCAGGCCGGGGCCAGCAAAGCUGGAUGCACCCCUUUUCUGCAGCCCCUCUGGCUGAAGGGUCAGGCCAGGGGGUGAGAGUGGAGCCCAGGGCCGGCAGAGCUAGAAGAGAAGGAAAGUAUUUCUCUGUGGAAAUCCUGUCUCAGACAAGCCUCCCACAGACAGAGUGAGCAGGGGAGGUAAUGCCUCAGCCUUUAAAAAGCAUCUCAUCUCAGUUUUACUACAGAAGAGAAGAGCUUAUCUCCUUUCAGAGAAACAAAUUUUAUCAAAGUUUGUCCCAGGUUCUUCGUAACUCACUACAAUGCUCUCACAUUUCCUUCCAACACUGAACUAAGAUAAGUAAGGUUCUCAUUGAAUCAAACGACUCUAACUUGUAACCAAAAGCUGCUCAAAUUAGAGUUCUAAGGAGUUCCCAUCGUGGUGCAGCAGAAAUGAAUCUGACUAGGAACCAAGAGGUGGUGGGUUCAAUCCCUGGCCUUGCUCAAUGGGUUAAGGAUCCGGCGUUGCUGUGAGCUGUGGUGCAGGUUGAAGAUGCGGCUUGGAUCCCGCAUUGCUGUGGCUGUGGCAUAGGCUGGCAGCUAUAGCUCCGAUUAGACCCCUAGCCUAGGAACCUCCAUUUGCCACGGGUGCAGCCCUGAAAAGACAAAAACAAACAAACAAACAACCAAAAAAAUUAGAAUUCUAAGAAUAGCAUAAGUGGAGUUACCUGGUGGUUCAGUGGGUUGGGGAUCCAGCGUUGUCACUGCUAUGGCUCAGGUUCCAUUCCCGGCCUGAGGAAUUUCUCCAUGCCAUGGGCACAGUCAGAAAAAAAAAAAGAAAGAAAGAAAAAAAAA